CCCGCACAAGCGGAGGAACAUGUGGUUUAAUUCGAUGAUACGCGAGGAACCUUACCUGGGCUAGAACGCCGGGGGAGCUCGUCCGAAAGGGCGGGGCCAGCGAUGGCCGCCGGCGAGGUGCUGCAUGGUUGUCGUCAGCUCGUGCCGUGAGGUGUCGGGUUAAGUCCCAUAACGAGCGCAACCCUACCGCCAGUUGCCAACGGGUAAAGCCGGGGACUCAGGCGGGACUGCCGGCGUAAGCCGAGAGGAAGGCGGGGAUGACGUCAAAUCAGCACGGCCCUUACGUCCAGGGCUACACACGUGUUACAAUGGCCGGUACAGAGGGAGGCGACCCCGCGAGGGGGAGCGGAUCCCGAAAGCCGGUCGUAGUUCGGAUCGGGGUCUGGAACCCGACCCCGUGAAGCCGGAUUCGCUAGUAAUCGCGCAUCAGCCAUGGCGCGGUGAAUACGUUCCCGGGCCUU
rnacentral:rRNA from 1 species